rnacentral:rRNA from 1 species
AGUGUAGGCGGUUUGGUAAGUCUGGUGUGAAAUCUCCCGGCUCAACUGGGAGGGUGCGCCGGAAACUGCCGGACUCGAGUGCGGGAGAGGAGAGUGGAAUUCCUGGUGUAGCGGUGAAAUGCGUAGAUAUCAGGAGGAACACCGGUGGUGUAGACGGCUCUCUGGACCGUAACUGACGCUGAAACACGAAAGCGUGGGUAGCAAACAGGAUUAGAUACCCUGGUAGUCCACGCCCUAAACGAUGCAUAUUUGGUGUGGGUCAUUCAGUUGAUCCGUGCCGGAGCUAACGCGUUAAAUAUGCCGCCUGGGAGUACAGUCGCAAGGCUGAA